CAAAGGCUUGGUCCUGACUUUACCAUCUGCUAAAGAUUAUAUUUACACAUGCAAGUAUCCGCCCCCCUGUGAGAAUGCCCCACUUCUCAAAUAGAGAAUAAGGAGCUGGUAUCAGGCACACGUUUUAUUGUAGCCCACAACACCUUGCUCAGCCACACCCCCAAGGGAUUUCAGCAGUGAUAAACAUUAAGCAAUAAGUGCAAACUUGACUUAGUAAUGACUAACUAAGGCCGGUAAAAUUCGUGCCAGCAACCGCGGUUAUACGAAAGACCUAAGUAGAUGAGUUACGGCGUAAAGAGUGGUUAAAACAUCAACCCUGCUAAAGUUAAAUUUUCUCCUAGUCAUUUACAAACCUAUGAGGCCCAGAAACACAAUUACGAAAGUAACUUUACCCUAUUGACCCCACGAAAGCUAGGGCACAAACUGGGAUUAGAUACCCCACUAUGCCUAGCCAUAAACAAUGAUAUUCUUAUAUUUGAAUAUCCGCCUGGGUACUACGAACACUAGUUUGAAACCCAAAGGACCUGGCGGUGCUUAACAUCCCUCUAGAGGAGCCUGUUCUAGAACCGAUAACCCCCGUUCAACCUCACCCCCUUUUGCAAUCUUCUGCCUAUAUACCGCCGCCGUCAGCUUACCCUAUCAAGGCCCAAAAGUAAGCAAAAUUGGUAUUAACCCAAAACGUCAGGUCGAGGUGUAGUACAUAAGGGGGAAAGAAAUGGGCUACAUUGACUAGCUUAGUCUAAACGGAAAGCACAUUGAAACAUGUGCCCAAAGGUGGAUUUAGUAGUAAGUAAAAAAUAGAGCGUUUUACUGAAUAUGGCCCUUAAGCGCGCACACAUCGCCCGUCACCCUCCCCAAAACCUCCCAAACAAUUCCUAAUCAAUUCUUGUACUAAAGGGGAGGGAAGUCGUAACACGGUAAGUGUACCGGAAGGUGCACUUGGAAU
rnacentral:ncRNA from 1 species